AGCAGCCGCGGUAAUUCCAGCUCCAAUAGCGUAUAUUAAAGUUGUUGCAGUUAAAAAGCUCGUAGUUGAAUUUCGGGAUUUAUCCGUCGGUCGGGCUUUUGGGUCUGUACUGGCGUGAUGGAUUCCUACCUUCUGAAUAACCGGCAUGUCAUUAAUUUGGUGCGCCGGGGAAGCAGGACUGUUACCUUGAAAAAAUUAGGGUGCUUAAAGCAGGCUUAUGCCUGAAUACAUUAGCAUGGAAUAAUGAAAUAGGACGGCAUGGUUCUAUUUUGUUGGUUUCUAGGAUCACCGUAAUGAUUAAUAGGGAUAGUUGGGGGCAUUAGUAUUCAAUUGUCAGGGGUGAAAUUCUUGGAUUUAUUGAAGACUAACUUCUGCGAAAGCAUUUGCCGAGGAUGUUUUCAUUAAUCAAGAACGAAGUUAGGGAUACGAAGACGAUCAGAUACCGUCGUAGUCUUAACCAAUAAACUACGCCGACUAGGGAUCGGACGAUGUUAAUUUUUAUGUACUCGUUCGCGUCCGU
rnacentral:rRNA from 1 species